UUCUCUUCUGCUGCCUAACAAACCACCCCCCAAAUUAGUGAUUGAAACAACGAUGACAUUUUUUUUCUCCACCCCCAAAUCUGCAACAAGGUCAGGGCUUGGCCAAAGCGAGCAUCUGUGCUUCACAUAUUAUCUGAAGCAGCUGGAUGGUGGCUGGUGGGAUCAUCUGCAGGCUGUGUACAUGCUGGGCGGAGGAUGCCGGCUGAUUGUCUAGAACCUCACCUGGAGCGCCUGGGUAGAAAACCCUCACCGAGGCUGCCUCACAUGCCCUGGGCUUUCUCACAUCAUGGUGGACAUGUUCCAGGGUCUGGUCAGUCUCACUGGAUUCCAGGCUACUGGUCUUCAACUCAAGGCUUCACAGAAUGGGACUAAGAGAAGCACCAACCCUAAUAAUCACAGGGGGCUCUGCUUCCUGCCCCGGUCAUCGCCUACACAACAAGCAAAACAAAACAAGCCCGAGUCCUGCAAACUGGACCCAAGAAGAAGACCAUAAUGACGGCCUUUCUCUCUAAGUGAUCCCAACAUGAGAUUCGGUGCAGAGCGGGCUUUCCGUGUUCCUGGUUCAGGGACUUCUGAGAAGCACCACAAUCAGAAGCACAGCCCCAGCAGAGAUUGCUGGACUCUUUCUUUCUUUUCUUAUUUUUUGUUGUUGAGUUUUUGUUUAUGAUUUGUUUUGUUUUGAGAUGAGGUCUCAAUCUGUUGCCCAGGCUGGUCUCAAACUUCCAGGCUCAAGAGAUCCUCCUUUCUCAGCCUCCCAUGUCGCUGGGAUUCCAGGCACACACCACCACACCUGGCUCUUGAGUGUUUUAGACACACGGACAAUUAAUCUGUAAGGCAAUGGGUGUGUUGAUCACUUUUAUCGUGGGGACCAUUUCACAAAAUACAGACAUAUUAAACAUCA